rnacentral:rRNA from 1 species
CCUACGGGAGGCAGCAGUGAGGACUAUUGGUCAAUGGACGAGAGUCUGAACCAGCCAAGUAGCGUGAAGGAUGACUGCCCUAUGGGUUGUAAACUUCUUUUAUAAAGGAAUAAAACGAGGCACGUGUGCCUUUUUGCAUGUACUUUAUGAAUAAGGAUCGGCUAACUCCGUGCCAGCAGCCGCGGUAAUACGGAGGAUCCGAGCGUUAUCCGGAUUUAUUGGGUUUAAAGGGAGCGUAGAUGGGUUGUUAAGUCAGUUGUGAAAGUUUGCGGCUCAACCGUAAAAUUGCAAUUGAUACUGGCAGUCGUGAGUACAGUUGAGGUAAGCGGAAUUCGUGGUGUAGCGGUGAAAUGCUUAGAUAUCACGAAGAACCCCGAUUGCGAAGGCAGCUUACUAAACUGUGACUGACAUUGAUGCUCGAAAGUGUGGGUAUCAAACAGGAUUAGAUACCCCAGUAGUC